GCCUGGCUGGCUCAGUGAGUAGAGCAUGUGACUCUCGAUUUCAGGACUGUGAGUUUGAACCCAAUGUUGGGCA
rfam:Ailuropoda melanoleuca scaffold211_185, whole genome shotgun sequence.